CGGUACCUGCAGAAAAAGCGCCGGCUAAUUACGUGCCAGCAGCCGCGGUAAUACGUAGGGCGCAAGCGUUAUCCGGAAUUAUUGGGCGUAAAGAGCUUGUAGGCGGUUUGUCGCGUCUGCUGUGAAAUCCGGAGGCUCAACCUCCGGCCUGCAGUGGGUACGGGCAGACUAGAGUGCGGUAGGGGAGAUUGGAAUUCCUGGUGUAGCGGUGGAAUGCGCAGAUAUCAGGAGGAACACCGAUGGCGAAGGCAGAUCUCUGGGCCGUAACUGACGCUGAGGAGCGAAAGGGUGGGGAGCAAACAGGCUUAGAUACCCUGGUAGUCCACCCCGUAAACGUUGGGAACUAGUUGUGGGGUCCAUUCCACGGAUUCCGUGACGCAGCUAACGCAUUAAGUUCCCCGCCUGGGGAGUACGGCCGCAAGGCUAAAACUCAAAGGAAUUGACGGGGACCCGCACAAGCGGCGGAGCAUGCGGAUUAAUUCGAUGCAACGCGAAGAACCUUACCAAGGCUUGACAUAUACGAGAACGGGCCAGAAAUGGUCAACUCUUUGGACACUCGUAAACAGGUGGUGCAUGGUUGUCGUCAGCUCGUGUCGUGAGAUGUUGGGUUAAGUCCCGCAACGAGCGCAACCCUCGUUCUAUGUUGCCAGCACGUAAUGGUGGGAACUCAUGGGAUACUGCCGGGGUCAACUCGGAGGAAGGUGGGGAUGACGUCAAAUCAUCAUGCCCCUUAUGUCUUGGGCUUCACGCAUGCUACAAUGGCCGGUACAAAGGGCUGCAAUACCGCGAGGUGGAGCGAAUCCCAAAAAGCCGGUCCCAGUUCGGAUUGAGGUCUGCAACUCGACCUCAUGAAGUCGGAGUCGCUAGUAAUCGCAGAUCAGCAACGCUGCGGUGAAUACGUUCCCGGGUCUUGUACACACCGCCCGUCAAGUCAUGAAAGUCGGUAACACCUGAAGCCGGUGGCCUA
rnacentral:rRNA from 1 species